rnacentral:rRNA from 1 species
GAUGAACGCUGGCGGCGUGCCUAAUACAUGCAAGUCGAGCGAACAGACGAGGAGCUUGCUCCUCUGACGUUAGCGGCGGACGGGUGAGUAACACGUGGAUAACCUACCUAUAAGACUGGGAUAACUUCGGGACACCGGAGCUAAUACCGGAUAAUAUCUUGAACCGCAUGGUUCAAUAGUGAAAGACGGUUUUGCUGUCACUUAUAGAUGGAUCCGCGCCGCAUUAGCUAGUUGGUAAGUUAACGGCUUACCAAGGCAACGAUGCGUAGCCGACCUGAGAGAGGGAUCGGCGACCCUGGAACUGAAACAGGGUCCAGACUCCUACGAGAGGCAGCAGUAGGGAAUCUUCCGCAAUGGGCGAAAACCUGACGGAACAACGCCGCGUGAGUGAUGAAGGUCUUCCGAUCGUAAAACUCUGUUAUUAGGGAAGAACAAAUGUGUAAGUAACUAUGCACGUCUUGACGGUACCUAAUCAGAAAGCCACGGCUAACUACGUG